AGUGUACCUUGUUUAACCUUUUUGAUUCAAUUCUGCCUAUCACUUAGGCAAUGAUUACAAAACAUAAAAUGUGUACUUUGCAGAGCGUGUUUCUGCAAGUUUCGUAGGCUCUGAAAACCACUGCCCUUCAAUCUUAAUGAGAGGAGCUGAAGCCAGAGAGCACAGAUGCCCCAGAUUACUGAAGUCUGCAGUGCCAUAAGUCUUCACAUCUCCCUUCAGCCGUGAUGACCCAGCCACCUUAGCACCUGCUGCGUGCUUUGUCUCUGGAAGGAGAAAGCUGAGAACCCAAGGACAGUGUGACCUCAGGUCUUGGAGAAGAGCCCCCAGUACAUGGCAGGCCCUUCUAGGCACAGAGGAAAGCUACAGGCAGUGAGCAAGACAGCUCUAGUCCCUGUUCUCACAGCAUGGUUUCAAAUACAAGGAAGAUAAGAAAAGUAACAUCCCCUGUGGUAAAUGCCAUGAGAGUGAUGGCAUGGUGUCUCUGAGAAAUGAAACGAGGUGCUAUUUCUAUGAAAUUUCUCAAGGCUGUGAAAGGACAUUAUUAGAAAUUAAAAAAAAAGAAAAGAAAGAAAAUCCCACUAUACAGGAGAAGGGGAUGACAGAGGGUGAGAUGGUUGGAUGGCAUCACCGACUCAAUGGACAUGCGUUUGAGUAAGCUCUGGGAGUUGCUGAUGAACAGGUAAUCCUGGCGUGCUGCAGUCCAUGGGUUCACAAAGAGUCGGACGUGACUGGGUGACUGAACUGAACUGGAUUCAGUGUGUGUUCACUCCAACAGCUGGGAGGGGCUUGAUCACUUUGCUUAGCUAAGUUGGAGCCUCUCUGACCUUAAAAGACUACUUAAAAAAAAAAAAAAAAGACUACUUUAACCACAUCUGAGUGUGCUUCUUUGACCCCUUCACCAGAUAACCCCACAGAUCUAGCGCAGGGUGUCUGGGGCAGAUCCCAGGAAGAGAAUCCUAGAACAGACACUAAGGGGCACGUAGCAAAGAUACAGCUGCUGAAAAUAACUAUUCUCCAUUUGAACAACAGCUCCAGAUCUGCUGCUGGACACUGGUAGAGACCAAAUACCGGACCCCACGAGAGUAUGUGAGCUGAGCUGCAUGCCUCACUCCACUGUCCAGGGGAGGUCAAUGUGGACGAUGAUGCCAACCUUGAGCAGGUCUCUGAAGCACAAGGAAGUCACAUGAACAGGUGGCUGAGACUCCAGGACACCUCCUUCACCCCCCAAGCCCCCCUCUCCCCACAGGGAUGGCCUCAGGAGAUUCUCUGUGGGCAGAAGAGUGCCAACCUAGGACCCAGGUAAUAGACUGCUUUGUAAACGUGCUGCCACCAGACACGCUGGGAAUGCUACACCAAGCAGCUUCACCCAGUGUGCCUGGAAGGUGGAGAUGAAGGGGCUCCCCUAGAGGGCCACCUGCCUGGGCAGAGAGAAAGCCAGAGGUCAGGAUCGACUCCAGUUCAGGGGCAGCAGCUAACAGAUUGACUGGUGGUCUGGGAGCUUGGAAAGAACAAGAUUGGAGACUUACAGACAAAAGGGUCUGGGCAAGGGGUUUGUGGGUGAACUUGCCAGAAUGAGGAGAGGUGUGAAGUUAAGCGUAGCCUGCAUGCAUGCCCACUGAAGGGCUCCUGCAUGGGAGGCCUCUGGUAAACACGUGGCAGGAUGCCUCACUUGUGCACCUCAGUUGUUCUGUCUGCAGCCACUGUGGCGCUGCCCAGUCCACUGAGCUUACAUACAGUGGCCAUGGCCCCAUUUGGAGCUGAUGCGGGGAGGAUAUCAUUAUGGACCUUCCAUUUUUCUGCUCUGUCAUUCUUAGAAUGUUGGUUUUAGUCUUCAUGCUUAUUACCUCAUAGUUCCAAAAGGGCUGCUGCUGUUCCAGACUUCACUGCAUUAGGCAGGAAUAAGGGGAAAGGGUCACAACCAAAAGGCUCUUUCCUCAUUGGGUCUGAAGCCUUUGUCUUUUUCCUAAGGAAGAGAAGAUCUCCUUAGGGGUCUUCCUCUUACAUCUAUUUGUCAGAAUUGAUUCACCCUGAGACCAAUUACUGUCUGAAGAGAAGGAGACUGCUAGGAUUGCUUUAUACCAAUUAAGAUUUAACCCCUAGGGCUAUCUUCCUGUGAUCAAAGGAUAUCUUAUACCCACUGACAAAAAUUGAGGGACAUGGGAGGUGAAGUUUGAGGCAAAGAAUCAUUGUAGAUUAGAGAACAACCAGUAUCUUGCCAAAGUUGGCAACAUUUAAAAUUCUGGAGAUUUCACUUGUAAAUCUAUCUCGAAGAGUGGGAAGGUCAGGGGACAUGACCCCAUGUUGCUUCAUGGCAGAGUUGGUGGCUGUCAUUAGAUGAGUCACAUGCUCUUGGGUUUGCCACAGUUCCCACCACUCUCUAUCACUCACCUGUCUGCUUUAUCAUCUCCACUGCCUGCUUGACCCCUGCAAGCAUUUGACUUUGUGAUCCCAGACUUAGGACAUUGUUUUAGAGCCAUCUGUUUGUGCAUGUGUUUCUCCCACCAGACUGGCACUGUGUUUGGCCUAUAAGAUGCAAAUAAGGUGGAAAAGAAAGAAGCUCUUCCUAAUAAGCCAAGCUAUCACAUUGCAUGAGAGAAGUGGUAAAGGCUUUCCCAUCACAAGGAUCUAAAUUACUAGCUCCCCCAGUCUGACUGUCAUGUUCCUCCCCUGUAAGCUGAGGGUGAUCACACCUGCUCCCCGAGCGUCACUGAGAUGCUUGUAUGAAAUAAAGAGAAGCUUGUAUAAUAUAAACUUUAUAUGCAUGUAAAGCCCAGGCAAAAAACAAAACAAAACAACAAAACAUAGAACUUCCUUGUGCCUUCUCCAAGAAGGAGGAAAACUGAAGUUGAAAUGAAUUUGGAAUGGAAUUAGGCAGGAAGAUUUUUUUAGAGCUGAAGCUACAUCUUAUUUUGCUUUGCAUGGCUGGAAGUGCUUAAUAAAUAUUGAAUAAAGAUAAUAAUGAUCACUUAGCUCAAUAGAAUAUAAUUAUACAAAUUGUAAAAAUAUAAUUAUGCCAGUCUGUCAUUACAGAUAAUGGCCUGAAUACAGGGCUAAUGUGGGCAAACCAGAGCCCACCAUGGUGACGGUUGCCAGCAGGCAGACAGGCAGCUUGCAGAGCCGCUCCAGAGAUUCCUGUGGGGAGCGGAGGGGAGCGGGCUGGUGUAUGGUGGUGGGGGGAGCAGUCUGGGCCCAGAGGAGAGGCUGGUGGUCCAGCAUAGAGUUGUGGGAAGUCAUCAGAGAGUUUCCAGCAGGAAAGUGACAAGAGCUGACAUACAGCUUUUUGGCGAUAAAAUUUUUAUUAUGGCAAAAUAUAAAAUUUACCUUUUGAACCUUUUUUAAGUGUACAGUUCAGUAGCAUUAAGUGCAUCCACCUUGUUGUGCAGCUGUCAUCACCAUCCAUUUUCAGGACCUUUUCGUCUUCCUGAACUAAAACUCUGUCCCCGUCAAACACCCACUCGCCACCCCAUCUUCCUUCAGCCCCUGGCCCCCACCAUCCUACUUUUUGUCUCUAUGAUCAAGCUUACACAAGAACCCUUAUAUAAGUGGAAUAAUGCAGCAUAUGUCCUGUUGAGACUGGCUUAUUUCACUGAGCAU
rnacentral:lncRNA from 1 species